rnacentral:rRNA from 1 species
GGGAAUGCGCAGCCUACACAUGCAGUCGAGCGGUAACAGAUCUAGCUUGCUGGAUGCUGACGAGCGGCGGACGGGUGAGUAAUGCAUAGGAAUCUGCCCGAUAGUGGGGGAUAACCUGGGGAAACCCAGGCUAAUACCGCAUACGUCCUACGGGAGAAAGGGGGCUCCGGCUCCCGCUAUGGGAUGAGCCUAUGUCGGAUUAGCUAGUUGGUGAGGUAACGGCUCACCAAGGCGACGAUCCGUAGCUGGUCUGAGAGGAUGAUCAGCCACAUCGGGACUGAGACACGGCCCGAACUCCUACGGGAGGCAGCAGUGGGGAAUAUUGGACAAUGGGGGAAACCCUGAUCCAGCCAUGCCGCGUGUGUGAAGAAGGCCCUCGGGUUGUAAAGCACUUUCAGCGAGGAAGAACGCCUAGCGGUUAAUACCCGCUAGGAAAGACAUCACUCGCAGAAGAAGCACCGGCUAACUCCGUGCCAGCAGCCGCGGUAAUACGGAGGGUGCAAGCGUUAAUCGGAAUUACUGGGCGUAAAGCGCGCGUAGGUGGCUUGAUAAGCCGGUUGUGAAAGCCCCGGGCUCAACCUGGGAACGGCAUCCGGAACUGUCAAGCUAGAGUGCAGGAGAGGAAGGUAGAAUUCCCGGUGUAGCGGUGAAAUGCGUAGAGAUCGGGAGGAAUACCAGUGGCGAAGGCGGCCUUCUGGACUGACACUGACACUGAGGUGCGAAAGCGUGGGUAGCAAACAGGAUUAGUCCCC